rnacentral:rRNA from 1 species
AGACCCGAAACCCGGUGAUCUAGCCAUGGGCAGGUUGAAGGUUGGGUAACACUAACUGGAGGACCGAACCGACUAAUGUUGAAAAAUUAGCGGAUGACCUGUGGCUGGGGGUGAAAGGCCAAUCAAACCGGGAGAUAGCUGGUUCUCCCCGAAAGCUAUUUAGGUAGCGCCUCGUGAAUUCAUCUCCGGGGGUAGAGCACUGUUUCGGCUAGGGGGCCAUCCCGGCUUACCAACCCGAUGCAAACUGCGAAUACCGGAGAAUGUUAUCACGGGAGACACACGGCGGGUGCUAACGUCCGUCGUGAAGAGGGAAACAACCCAGACCGCCAGCUAAGGUCCCAAAGUCAUGGUUAAGUGGGAAACGAUGUGGGAAGGCCCAGACAGCCAGGAUGUUGGCUUAGAAGCAGCCAUCAUUUAAAGAAAGCGUAAUAGCUCACUGGUCGAGUCGGCCUGCGCGGAAGAUGUAACGGGGCUAAACCAUGCACCGAAGCUGCGGCAGCGAACGUAUCACCCAAGACAACUUUACGGAGUUGGCGAUUGACGGAGCGAAGCGACGUCAAAGCGUUCAUUAAAGUCGAGUUGGCUUAGGGAUACGUUCGUUGGGUAGGGGAGCGUUCUGUAAGCCUGUGAAGGUGUGUCGUGAGGCAUGCUGGAGGUAUCAGAAGUGCGAAUGCUGACAUAAGUAACGAUAAAGCGGGUGAAAAGCCCGCUCGCCGGAAGACCAAGGGUUCCUGUCCAACGUUAAUCGGGGCAGGGUGAGUCGACCCCUAAGGCGAGGCCGAAAGGCGUAGUCGAUGGGAAACGGGUUAAUAUUCCCGUACUUGGUGUUACUGCGAAGGGGGGACGGAGAAGGCUAUGUUGGCCGGGCGACGGUUGUCCCGGUUUAAGCGUGUAGGUGUGUGUUCCAGGUAAAUCCGGUUCACUUUAACACUGAGGCGUGA